UCUUCCCGUUGGUCCAACUUAUCGACCGACAGGAAAUCCUCGAUUUAUUGUUUUGAGUUGAGAUUUGGAAGCAUCGCCGAGCGAGCUGUUGAUCCCCACGUAUUUUUUUAGCUCCAUUUUUAGUCAGAAACCAGACCAGCAAGUGGUAUGUCGAGACUAUCGCUUUGAGAGCGUUUAGUCCGGAUCUUUCAAGUAUGGCAUUGUAGGCCGAAGGUACUUGGACGACCGUGAAGA
rnacentral:lncRNA from 1 species